CUUUUCAACAUAGUAAGCGGUCAGAAAGCAAGCGAUGCACUGUGGAAGUAAGCUUCUACUUCUUCAACGAUAUGCCUUGGUGCCGAUCUGAAACAAUUGCAGUAGAGGAGGACAACGACGAAAGAUCCAUCCGCGAGGAACAAAGCAGAAGCCAUGAAACCAAUGAUGCCGUAGAAGUAGGCCUAGAUACAGAAAUUCCGAAAAAUGGCCCGACAAUCUAUUGGGAAAUUCUCCUGAAAAUGUCUACAAAUCUCAUUUUUAUCUCGAAAAACCUCGAAAUUUUUUGUAAAAGUCCUGAUCUGUCUCGAAAUUUAUUUUAAAAUAAUAACAUAAUUUGCAUGAAAUGCGAGAUUCCUGUGGUGAAACUGCAUGGAAGCACCUUCAAACUGAUUCAAAAUGAUUGGUUCGUCUCUUAACAUGUAUCUCUCAGACAAUGAUAACGACAAUAAACAGGUGGUGUAGUUAAGUUAUACAAACCACGUAAGUUUGUUUUUUAGGCUAUCGGCUGUAUUUUUCUAGACAUUAUCGUCUAAGAAUCCCUGAUGUUCCAAAAUCAUCGAAUUUUCUUAAAAUUCCGUUUGACUUUGAAAAUCCUGAAAAAAGUCCGGAUUUUGUUUCUAGCCGUACUAAAAGAAUCUUCUGGAUAUCAUUUUUCUUUCCUAUUUGUCAACGGGACUAACAGCUUUUCUUCGCAAGGAAAGAAAAGAGUCUAGUUGUAUGUAUUUAGUCUCUCAAGCGUUGAAUUUUUGUCAGUUUUUGAUAACCGUCAAUUGACAGAUAGUUCUUCAAAAAGCGUAGAUAAUGUUUUUACAGAAGCCCGAUUAGUUUUAGUGGCAGCUUUGCCGAACAAAACAAACCACGUACAGCUAGAUACUGAAUAAAAAGAUCCUCACUCAAUAAAACCUACAGUAUCUUCCGCUGGACCAUGUUAUCAUGUGAUUAGAGUCUCUCCAUCAUCAUGACGUGGAGGUGAUCGGCGACAAACGAGGGCAAAGAGAUAAUAAAUCGCUUCACAGAAGAACAAACUAGCAGCUAUGAAGCCACAAAUGCCUGAUCCAAUCAUUACAUCCCCUUUCACAUAGAUGUUGCCAUCAUGGUAUACAAUUCCAGAGCCAACAACUAAGGCAACCGAGAGGAGAAAACAUCCAACCAUUCCAAGCAGCGGUGGCACCUUCUCGAAGCAUCGUAAGCUUCUGAAAAUGAUGUGCAGAACCACGAAGACGAGCGCGCAGGUGGCUACGCCGACUUGAUAUUUGUAUUCUGACUUGUAGCGAUAGAACUCAUAGCUAAGCGUAAGAACAGCCGCUAAGAAAGUCGUUACCGUUUCGAUGAGUUUCACGCCUCCUUCUAUCGUGGUCACUAUCCACGCAAAAUUGCAACACCUUCGUGAAUUCAGUGACUCCUCCCUGUCAGCCAUAGCUGUUGUCUAUAUAUACUGAGAAUGGUAGAGUUACUAUAUGAGGUGGACUACGUCGGCUUCUCGGUAAACAUCCGCUGUUCGGAAUGGAGCCCGUGCUCCUUAUACAAAGUGACGAUUCCACACGAAGAUUCGCUGUGUUUUAUACUUCCCAGAUCCCACUGUGUGUUCGGACGGAAUGGAGAAGCAUUCCUGCUCGCCAUAACUUUUGUCUAUACAUACUAAGAAUGGUGGAGUGGGUAGAUGAGAAUGGGUUACGUCGGCUUUUCGAUAAACAUUCGUUGUUCAGAAAGGAGCCCGUGCUCCUCAAACAAAAUGACAGUUAGACGCGAAGAUUUGCUGUGUCGUUGACUCCCCCGAUCCUACUAACCAUCGGGAUAAAAAUAUGACAAGAUUACUCACUGACUAUAGUUUUUCAAAAUGAUCGAUACUAAUCGAGUGCCCAGAUCCUACCAUGUAACUGAAAUGAAGGAACUCUUCCACCGCUUGGACGUGGAAGGUCUUGGCAUGAGACUAGACUAAGCCUGACCCGAUUGUGCACAGCAACUUUUGACAUUUGGAGCAACUUUUAUCAACUUGCAGCAAUUUCGCUUUUCAGAGCAUUUUUUGGGCAAAAUAUAGGUUUAGAGCACUUAUCAAGCAUGAAAAAGUCGACGAUUUCAUAGAAAAAACUAACACAUAACUUGUCAAUUGGCAACGUUUCGCAGGCCUAUUGCAAACUUUAUCUAAUAUUGUCACAGAUAAUUGGCUAAAAUGACGUUCGGCGAGACGUCAAAUGAACGUUGCGUUUUGUCCUGUCAGACUUAAGUAUCCUUAAAUGUCGCUCAUGUUUGCGAGCAGCUAUUUAAAGCCAAGUUUCAAGCUAUUUUUCUUGACCAGCGGUAACAAUAAUUGCGAAUAAGUUAAAAUAAAGCCUUUAAUUAACGUUUA